UGAUAGUUAGUUUAAUAAAAACAAUUGAUUUCGACUCAUUAAACUAUGCUAAACUGCAUAACUAUCAA
rnacentral:tRNA from 1 species